AUUGAACGCUGGCGGCAGGCUUAACACAUGCAAGUCGAGCGGGGGAAGGUAGCUUGCUACCGGACCUAGCGGCGGACGGGUGAGUAAUGCUAGGAAUCUGCCUAUUAGUGGGGGACAACAUCUCGAAAGGGAUGCUAAUACCGCAUACGUCCUACGGGAGAAAGCAGGGGAUCUUCGGACCUUGCGCUAAUAGAUGAGCCUAAGUCGGAUUAGCUAGUUGGGGGGGUAAAGGCCUACCAAGGCGACGAUCUGUAGCGGGUCUGAGAGGAUGAUCCGCCACACUGGGACUGAGACACGGCCCAGACUCCUACGGGAGGCAGCAGUGGGGAAUAUUGGACAAUGGGGGGAACCCUGAUCCAGCCAUGCCGCGUGUGUGAAGAAGGCCUUAUGGUUGUAAAGCACUUUAAGCGAGGAGGAGACUACUUUAGUUAAUACCUAGAGAUAGUGGACGUUACUCGCAGAAUAAGCACCGGCUAACUCUGUGCCAGCCGCCGCAGUAA
rnacentral:rRNA from 1 species